CUUAAAAUUACCUCUUCUUUUUUUUCCCCCUCCUUCUCUACUACAACUUCUGCAGCGAGUUACGGUAUAAAGACUUGUCCGACCUGCAUGCCAUCACGCUACAGAAAUAUGAAUGUAUUUCAAGAGCCGCUUCCUUAAACCUAUUUUAAACUUUUCUUUACUUUUCCCUCGACAGAGAUCAUCCAAACAAGCUCUCUUAUUUUGUCGAAGUGGCAAAAGAUUUUGACAAGCUUGUCGCACGAAAAAUGUUGGCCACGUUUCACACCACCAACUGCGAAAUUCACAGAUUUUCCAUCAAGACAAAAAAUAUAUAUACCUUUAAAAGUAGUAGUUUUCAGGAUGAAUCACCUCAAAAGUUUGUGAAAAUGUCAAUUGUUCAACCUUACAUUGGAAAUAAUUGAAACUACAACCUUUAACAUCAGUUUUAAAAGUGUGUUUUCAAAUACAACAAAAAGUCAUCAUAUCAACAAAAGCUCAUUUUACUGUCUUUGUGUAAUUGUAAAAAGGACACGUUUCUCUCAAAUGAACUGUUUAAAAGAUAAAUGAUUUUUAUUGCUCUCAUCAAAACAAGAGAAAAACAGAAACUGAUCUUAACUGUAAAUUUACUUAAAAUACAUUGCUAGUCUGUUAUGUGAUUUUGAAAUAUAACAUACUGCUUUACUUAUGUUAUAUAGACCAUAUAAAGUUACCUAACCUGACAAGUGGGAGUUUUUCCAGAGUUUAUCAUUCAUGCUAAGCUAGGCUAGUUCAACUAGAAGUUUAGCUUUUAGCAGGACCUUUUAUUUGAUCAAAGCCAUGAACGUUUCAAAAGACUUUUACUCCGUUUUGUAAUUUAAAUUUGAAUAAUUUCCACAAAAAAAAAAAAAAACAUUUAAAAGUUCUUAUUAAAAAUCUCAGUAAAAAGAUAAUGUAGCAUCAGUCAAGCUAUUACUCGACUGAAUGCUAGCUGAACCUAGCUUUGAGCAGAUUUUAAACUUAAACUAGUCCCUGGUCCAGGUGAGUUUAAUUUGGGUAUCAUAGUCCUCAACUUAAAAUGUUGAUAAAAUUAGGACAAUAUGACAUAUAACACGAUAUUAAAACAAUCUAGACUUGAGCAGCAUGCUCUGAAUAAAGCUCUGUCACCAUUUAUAUACAACUGUUGAUGUCUAAAGGCUUUGUGGUCUUUUAGUCUGUAAAUUAGGAUAAAUAAGGGCAUGCUAAAGACGGUGAGAUGUGGAAACGAGCUUCAUCAAUGGUGCCAAGGUGUACAAAUUUAGUAUGAUUAUCAUUUACACACAGGCAUCAUCUGGGACUGGUUCAUGUUUCUGAAGUUCCCCCUCAGUGAAGCCUCAGUUCUUUUAGACCUCGGACAAUGUCCCUUUGUGUCCACCGACUGCACCGCAGGAAAACAAGACCAACCUCUCUGUUCUCAGAACAAGGUCUGUCCGGCCUGACUGACCUCCGUACUUUAGAAAAACAACAUUUUUAGAAAGUGAAGACACAUUUCUGUCCAGUUCCUUUUUUAAACUUAUUUUAGCCCUCAUUCAAAAGAAGUUAACGUUAACGGUGCUUAAACAGAAGUAGACUCUACUUCCCUUAUUCCACUCGGCAUAAAUGAAUUCCUGCUACAUUGUUGAGCGUACGGUAAAGAUUGUUCUUGAGGCUGUUGAUGUUACGUCUGCUUAUGUAGCUAUGACCUUAUAAUUAUGUUAAUUUACUCAAUAAGCUUCAGGUUUUCCUGUUUUAAAUUGAUGCACUCAUCUGGCAAACCCCUUUAAACCUUUGAAUGUACACUUUAACCUUCUUCCUCUCUUUUUUUCUUCUUAUGAAAUCACGGCGUUCCUGUCUAUGCAAAUUAACGCUUCAAAGAAAGGGUUUUAUCAAACCAAAGGUAUUAUCUGUGGCAGCUUGCGUCCUACACAAUCAUAAGACUGAAAAAUGACAGUGCUGCUGCAACAACUUGUCAUAUGCAAAGUAUUUUAGAUACCCUUCCAAAAUACAGUAUACAAUGUACAAUACCAAUGUAGUUACUUUAAGUGUAAAUAUCAAUAAAACUGUAAAUUGAAUGU